GUGAACGCUGGCGGUAGGCCUAACACAUGCAAGUCGAACGGCAGCACAGUAAGAGCUUGCUCUUACGGGUGGCGAGUGGCGGACGGGUGAGGAAUACAUCGGAAUCUACUUUUUCGUGGGGGAUAACGUAGGGAAACUUACGCUAAUACCGCAUACGACCUACGGGUGAAAGCAGGGAAUCUUCGGACCUUGCGCGAUUGAAUGAGCCGAUGUCGGAUUAGCUAGUUGGCGGGGUAAAGGCCCACCAAGGCGACGAUCCGUAGCUGGUCUGAGAGGAUGAUCAGCCACACUGGAACUGAGACACGGUCCAGACUCCUACGGGAGGCAGCAGUGGGGAAUAUUGGACAAUGGGCGCAAGCCUGAUCCAGCCAUACCGCGUGGGUGAAGAAGGCCUUCGGGUUGUAAAGCCCUUUUGUUGGGAAAGAAAAGCAGCAGGUUAAUACCCCGCUGUUCUGACGGUACCCAAAGAAUAAGCACCGGCUAACUUCGUG
rnacentral:rRNA from 1 species